AGGGCUGUAGCCCAGUUGUUAAGGCAUCUGGUCUGCAUGCAAAAGGUCACAGGUUCAAAUCCUGGCAUCCCCG